GCAACACUGGGACUGACACACGGCCCACACUCUACGGGAGGCAGCAGGGGGGAAUUUUACACAGUGGGCGCAAGCCUGUCUACCCUGCCGCGUGAGAGACAAAGGCCUUAAGGUCUAAAGCUUUUUCCCCAGGGAUGAUAAUGACAGCACCUGGAAAAAAAACCCCGGCUAACUCCGCGCCAGCACCCGCGGUUAAUACGGAGGGGGUUAGCGUUGUUCGGAAUUACUGGGCGUAAAGCGCACGUAGGCGGACUGGAAAGUUGGGGGAGAAAUCCCGGGGCUCAACCUCAGAACUGCCU
rnacentral:rRNA from 1 species